rnacentral:misc_RNA from 1 species
AAAGUCGUAACAAGGUUUCCGUAGGUGAACCUGCGGAAGGAUCAUUACAGAGUUCAUGCCCUCACGGGUAGAUCUUCCCACCCUUGAAUACUUAUACCUUUGUUGCUUUGGCGGGCCGCUUCGGCUACCGGCUUCGGCUGGUGAGUGCCCGCCAGAGGACCCAAAACUCUGAAUUAUAGUGUCGUCUGAGUACUAUAUAAUAGUUAAAACUUUCAACAACGGAUCUCUUGGUUCUG